rnacentral:rRNA from 1 species
UCAGACGAUGCGUCAUGCAUAUCAAUAAGCGGAGGAAAAGAAACUAACAAGGAUUCCCCUAGUAACGGCGAGUGAAGCGGGAAGAGCUCAAAUUUGAAAUCUUAAAGGGUUUCCCUUUACGAAUUGUAGUUUAAAGAAGUGUUUUCUGUUGAGGUUUUGGUAAAAGUUCUUUGGAAUAGGACAUCAUAGAGGGUGAGAAUCCCGUAUUUGACCUUUACUUUCAACUUUGUGAUACACUUUCAAAGAGUCGGAUUGUUUGGGAAUGCAGUCCAAAAUGGGUGGUAAAUUUCAUCUAAAGCUAAAUAUUGGCGAGAGACCGAUAGCGAACAAGUACCGUGAGGGAAAGAUGAAAAGAACUUUGAAAAGAGAGUUAAACAGUACGUGAAAUUGUCAAAAGGGAAGCGUUUGACACCAGUGUUGUUUUUCUGAAAAUCAAUUAAAGAACUGUUUAUGCUAAGCUGUUUAGACUUUAUCAGCUAUCUGUUUAGUUUUGAGCUUUUCUUUAAUGCACUUUUCAGGUUAACAAGUCAACAUCAAUUUCUUUUGCUGUAAAAAAGCUUGAGGAAGGUGGCUUGAGAUUCGUCUUAAGUGUUUAUAGCCUCUUGCCUAUGCAGUCGGAGAGAUUGAGGUCUGCAGCGUAGAUCCUUCGGGGCUAAAUGCAUUUGUGCUAAGUUAUAGCAUUUUAUAGACAACUUGUUGACUAUGAUUUGUCUUGUAGCUUACUCGCUUAUGUUAUUUUACCUACGCUUAGGAUGUUGACACACGCGCGUGCUC